CGGUCGGCGAUCGGGCCGAAGAACGGUAAUCCGUAGCCGCCGGGGAUUUCCCGGAGGGGGAGGUUCUUAGUGUUAUCGGACGACAUUUUUUUUUUUCCGGCGGAGGUCAGAUGAAAAUAUGAAUUGAAGAAGACUACUUGUGACUUGUGAGAAGUGAUUGGUAGUAUUAGAAUUUAUAGCGAGAUUCAAGAAAGAAAUAAUGCUACAAUUUAUGCAUGUUUUAAUCU